CAACUCACUCGCAGCCCGCAUUGUCUCUUCCUCUCACGACCGGGGACGCGCUCGCGCGACCAGGCAGACGAGUGUCUGCCUUCCUCCCCGUUCCCCAACGCCGUCCAUGCCCACUACGACCGCCCGAAACCUAAACACCGCCGCCAGGCUGCCCGACGCCCGCCGUCCAGCGCGUAGCCCCCGCCCUCUGUCCUACGCCCCUCCCACGGUCUCGCCUUGUCAGCUUCCCCGAGUGGUCGGCGCGGGCCUAAAGUAGCUGCCCUUCCCGCCGGCGGUCGGCACCAUGUCGGCGAGGGCACGAGGCGGCGACCCCUCCCCGUCUCCCCUUUGUCCUCCCCCUGCCCAGCGGCCAGCGCGAGGCUCGGCCCCUUUCCUCAACCAUGCCCUUCCUUUGAUGAUGAUUUUGUUUAUACAUGCGUUGUUUUUGUUUAUAGAUGUCACUGUUUCACCUUGUUUGUUUAUUUGUUCGAUGUUGCAGAGCAACCGAUUUUGACAUUGAGAAAUAUUUGUUUCUCUAAAAUUUUGCAGGAAAGCAAGAUGAGUAAAAUAAGAAAAUGUAUUUGUUAGUAUUGAAGAAUCAAAGAUACUCGAGUGAUUUCAAGGUUGUCGCACACAUAAAGGCUUUUUGCCUCGUCCUAUAUGAUUGGCUUCUUCUGUUAUUGAAGAUGUAGUCAUGGGAGGCUCAGAUCAACCAAUCCUUUGAUCUGGUGAUGUAAAAAUGCUUGUUAAGCAGAGGCAAUGGAGGAAGCAAGGGCAUCUACAGAGAUCAACAUCCGGCGUCAAGAGUUCAAGGAGGCCCGGAUCAUUCAUGAAGGCAGAACGUCCAAUAUGAAGGCUCACAAUUUUUGUAAAAAGUGUUUUAUCUUUAGCUCAUGGUCGAUAUAAUUGGUUGCUCCAGCCGAAUGACACUACUGUUGUAUCAUAUAUUAUCAUGCAAGUUCAGGUUUCCCCUAAAAAAAGACCAACCUGUCUUGAAACCGACAUCACCAAAUAAAUUUCAAGUUCUCACA